AACGUUGGUAGUAUGCUUAACACAUGCAAGUCGAGCGGAGAGCAGUAGCAAUAUUGUUUUUAGCGGCGAACGGGUGAGUAAUGCUUAUCUGACUUACCGAGUAGUGGGGGAUAACUGUGGGAAACUGCAGCUAAUACCGCAUUUGUUAUAUAUUCGCUUAUAUAAUGAAAGGAAACUGUUAAAAGUUUUCGCUAUUCGAUAGGGAUAAGUCGUAUUAGCUAGUUGGUGGGGUAAUGGCCUACCAAGGCAAUGAUGCGUAGCCAGUCUGAGAGGAUGGAUGGCCACAAGGGAACUGAGACACGGUCCCUACUCCUAAGGGAGGCAGCAGUGGGGAAUAUUCGUAAUGGGGGAAACCCUGAACGAGCAAUACUACGUGAAGGAAGAAGGUCUACGGAUUGUAAACUUCUGUUAGCGCGGAAGAAGGGCAGAUUUAUCUGUCUUGACGGUACGCGCAGAGAAAGUGACGACUAACUAUGUGCCAGCAGUCGCGGUAAGACAUAGGUCACGAACGUUACCCGGAAUUACUGGGCGUAAAGGGUGCGUAGAUUGUCUGAUUAGUUAUCGGUGAAAGCAGAGCCUAACUUUGCGGAAGCUAAUAAUACUGUCAGACUAGAGGAAAGGAGAGGUUAACGGAACUCCACAUGUAGCGGUAAAAUGCGUAGAUAUGUGGAAGAACACCAAAAAAGGCGAAGGCAGUUAACUAUUCUUAUCCUGACGUUGAGGCACGAAAGCGUGGGGAGCAAAACGGAUUAGAUACCCGUGUAGUCCACGCUGUAAACGAUGAGUACUAGAUAUUGGGCUUUUUAGCUUAGUGUCGCCAGUUAACACGUUAAGUACUCCGCCUGGGUAGUACGCUCGCAAGAGUGAAACUCAAAGGAAUUGACGGGGACUCGAACAAGCAGUGGAACAUGUGGUUUAAUCCGACACUACCCGUUGAACCUUACCGAGGCUUGACAUAGAAGGCAAUGCUAAGGAAACUUAGCGGAGGUUACCCAGAUACAGGUGCUGCAUGGCCGUCGUCAGUUCGUGCCGUGAGGUGUAUGGUUAAGUCCUAUACAACGAACGCAACCCUCAAGUUUAGUUACCAUCAUUUAGUUGGGGACUCUAGACUAACUGCCUGAGUAAUCAGGAGGAAGGCGAGGAUGACGUCUGGUCGUCAUGGCCCUUAUGCCUCGGGCUACACACGUGUUACAUUGGUUAGUACAAUGCGUCGCAAAGUCGCAAGGCUGAGCUAAUCGCUAAAACUAACCUCAGUUCGGAUUGGAGGCUGCAACUCGCCUCCAUGAAGUAGGAAUUGCUAGUAAUCGCAAAUAAGUUAUGUUGCGGUGAAUACGUUACCGAGUCUUGUACACACCGCCCGUCAAGUCACGAAAGUCGG
rnacentral:rRNA from 1 species